UACAGAGGUCCCAAGCGUUGUUCGGAUUCAUUGGGCGUAAAGGGUGCGUAGGCGGCGCGGUAAGUCGGGUGUGAAAUCUCGGAGCUUAACUCCGAAACUGCAUUCGAUACUGCCGUGCUUGAGGACUGGAGAGGAGACUGGAAUUUACGGUGUAGCAGUGAAAUGCGUAGAUAUCGUAAGGAAGACCAGUGGCGAAGGCGGGUCUCUGGACAGUUCCUGACACUGAGACACGAAGGCCAGGGGAGCAAACGGG
rnacentral:rRNA from 1 species